ACACAUUCCAUUAUCAGGCGGUCC
rnacentral:siRNA from 1 species